rnacentral:lncRNA from 10 species
CCAGAGUUGUGUCUCAGCCAGCGUUCCCUAGAGUGGUGGAAUUCAAAUACUCUUGCUCAUGUGCUCCCUAAAAGAAUGGAAAAACUGUUCUCUUGCACAUGUUCAAGCUGACACCUAAAAGUUUUCACCAUAUAUAAAAAUUGUUGCAAAGGAUGUAUUUUUUGGCAUAUGGUAAAAUCUGACAUUUUAAAAUACAAUAAUUUUACCAUCACUGAUAAGUGUUUGGAAACUCAACUUUAGGCAAAGCAGGUCCUUUUGUUAUAACAUUGAUGAAAACAAAAAUAUGUUUUGUUAAUAAGUUGUUUCACUUCAAGUCACAGUUAUUUAAGGUGUUAAGUGAGCACUUACCGUAAAUCUGUUGAAUCUUGUUAAAUAUUCCAGUGGACUCUAAAUACUAUAGAGGAUAAGAUCUAUCAUUUAUUUGAAGAAAUACAAUGAACAAGCUUUUUUUUAAUCAUUAGAAAUUUUACAUUGUUCUUUCUUUAUCUGAACUCAUAUUUCUAUUCUAUUUCCCCACUGGUUUUAAUCCUAAUACAUAUUUAUGGUUGAAAGUUUGGCUAGGCGGGGUGGCUCAUUCGUGUAACCCCAGCACUUUGGGAGGCCCAGGUGGAAGGACUGCUUGAGCCCAGGGAUUUGAGACCAGCCUGGGCAACAU